rnacentral:lncRNA from 1 species
AACACCAAGGCAUGAAGGAGAAGUAGCAAAGUGGGGCGUGUUAUGAAGUGAAGAUGAAAAGAGGAUGAAAUCUGAACAUUAAAGACCUCAGCGCCUUGCCUAGAAGUUUAUGGUUUUAUCCUCUUGGGGUUAUAGACUUCAGCAAGAUCGGAGUUGCAGUUUAGAAAGUCUUCUGGCCACCUAGUAGAAGAUAGUUUGCGAAACGGCCAAAAGAGAAGCAGAAGAUGCCGGAAGGAGGUGGAUGGACGAACACAGGAGACAAAGUACACAUUCAAAUCCAAAUGAAUUGAGUGUGAAGGACAGUGGAAAAAGAGACAGUGAAUUGAAUGACAGCAGUUGGGAUAUCAGUGCGGAGGGCUUCAAUCGAAGCU